CCGGAGUUUUGCUGGGAGGAGGAUUGUCUCACAGCUACCAGAAAAUGAAGAGCUACUGGCAAGCAAAGAAUCUGUUGUCACAAGAGUCUACGAUUGAAAACUGAAGUGAUACCACUAUGAUUGGCUUUAACUAGGUCUGUAAACCAGACUACACCUCAGACAAUGCCUCGCGAGAAGAAGGAACCAUUCAUUGACUGGCGAAAGAAUGACACGAGAAUGUGACGUCCACAUGUCUAUGUCAAAGCCUCUACUCCACAUCAGCUAUUAUAGCCAAGCAUGCAUUAUCAUGAUUCAUUCAUUUCCAAUCUAUCUAGACACAUAGUUUUUUAUAUUAAAUCCCAGAAUGCACAUGUAAAGUUAUUCUUGUUAUUGUCAAGCCUCCAUCAUCAUUAUCAUUCUCAGUCAGAAAUUUUCAAAAGUCAUCUGAGACGCUCUCAGAGCUGGAACAACCUGGAACAACUAGAGACACACUUUCAGUAGCCAUUUUUAUUUGGAAAAAUUCGUAUACUAGACCGUUACAUCCGAGGCAAUCAUCAUCCCAGCCCAAACGUCCGUUUACGGAGGCGUUUCAUAUCCAUGUAAUUUAUAGUAUCUAUGGCAGCACCCAUUCAGUCCACUACUAAAUCUUGGCGAGUCAGCAUGAUAGAGACGAAUGUGUCUCACAAAACUUUUUGUAGUGCUGCAAAAAUAUUGACAGCAGGGACAAUCAUAGCUUGACAUGGCAGAAUAUAUACCUAUAGUAUAGUGUGCUACUAGCUAUAUGUAGGUAUCCUUUCUACUAUACUCGUAAGUACCUACGUACGUAUAGCAAGCUCAGAAUGAUGAAUUGCACGUGGUAUACUACUGAGAGUUGGGCGGAGCCAAUCUCUGAAGUAAAACUCACGUGGUUAGUCACGUGGAAAUGCCUGGAAAUGCGCUUGCGCGUAGAUCAAGGCACGAAGUGCAAAAAGACAGCAUGGCAGCAUCUACGAUGGCAGCUACAGCAAGAGAUCAUAGUGACACUGGAGUUGUCUAACUAUCUGGCUGAUCAAGGACAGCACCAAGAUGUACUGACUGCUGUAGAAGUGAACAGACUGACUGGAGCUGAUUUCCUCGAACUUACCAGCAGCCAUCUCAAGGAGCUGUUUCCAGUGUUAGGGGCAAGGAUGUCUGUUCAAAGGCUGAUUUCAUCCUUUACUUCUAAGCCUGCACCAAACCAACAGUCUGAAACUCCUUUAGCUAAAGUAAGAACAAGCUCAUCGGCUAACAAGGAUUGGGUUAAAACUUUCAAACUCCCUGAUCGUUUCAACAACCGCACUAUGAAAUCCCUCAGGGAGGGUGUGAUAACCAAGGCCGCUCGCAUAGACAUCAUUGGCUCGUUGUAUAUCUUGAUGAUGCAGAAUGAUCCUAAACCAAACGGCUUUGUCUAUGAAAUGGCCUGAAAUGGCCUGCACAAGGCUCAUGGAGAAAUAUCCUGUAAUUACGGACAAUACUGAUUAAGUUAACAUUAUCAUUAAUCGCACAUGACCAUGGCACAUGCAGGAACAGCUUACAGAAAUUCAGGAAUGGCCGUAGAGGCGACAAGGAUGAUGAACCUGACGUGGAUAUCCCCGAUACCACCCCCAAGAGAACAAGUACUGCGAAAAAGCGUAGAAUUACACUACAAACUGUCAUGUUAACAAACUGUCAUGUUAACGCGAAUGUAUUACGUGGUUCAUGUGCAUGUGUAUAGCUUUCCCUGAUCCCAUGCAGCAUCCCCUGAGGGUAUAGACAUCUGCAGUGAAUCCUACUAAAAAUCACUUUGAUAUAUGAGGAGGUAGCAAAGAGCAACCCAAAGGCAUCUAAAUUGAAACGUUUGUUGUUGGAAACAUUUGGUGGUAGGAGAGAGUGGAUUAUAAAAGAUGAACCCUCUAUUACUGAAGUUCUGGAUGUUUUUCCUAUGUAUAUAAAGUUUGGCCAUGUGCAUGAUGAUGUAUACUCUUUGUACUUAUAAUAAUAGCUCAAACGAGAGCUGACCAUGAUUCUGGGCUUGCCUAAGGGGCUUGCCUAAGAAACAUGAUUUCCUGAGAGAGUGGCCAGUGUUCAAGGAGAAACUCAUCAAGCUUGCACAGAUUGAAGCACCGACGAGACCUUGCAUAAGAGAAACCCUUCAAAAGAUUCCUAGAUUCCUCCUCAAAGCGAGGAGGAGGAGGAGGAUCAUUUUUUGGAGUUUGUCUGUUGUUUGAGCCUUCUGGAUAAUUUCCUUGCAAGCAGGGCCAAAAUGCGGCUGCUCUACGAGUUUCCGGCUGAUGAAGAUCUACAGAAGAAUAUCAAGAACCUACCUCCUGCUCCAGCAAUUGUAUUAUCUCAUUCGGACUCUGCUGUCCAAAUGAUCGUGGUUGCAGAAAAGAGUAUUAUUGUUGAGCCAGA